rfam:Cryptococcus amylolentus CBS 6039 supercont1.15, whole genome shotgun sequence.
AGGGAUGUCGUAUAACGGUUAGUAUAAAGGUUUCCAAAACCUUUGAUAGUGGUUCGAUUCCGCUCAUCCUUA